AGUGAACGCUGGCGGCGUGCCUAACACAUGUAAGUCGAACGAUGAUGGAGAGCUUGCUCUCAUGAUUAGUGGCGCACGGGUGCGUAUACCAUAGAUAAUGUACCCCUUAGUUCGGGAUAGCAACUGGAAAUGGUGCUUAAUACUGGAUACUCCUUAUCAUUAUAAGAUGAGUCGGGAAAGUUUUUUCGCUAAGGGAUCAGUCUAUGACCUAUCGGCUAGUUGGUGAGGUAAUGGCUCACCAAGGCUAUGACGGGGAUCUGGUUUAAGAGGAUGAUCAGACACACUGGAACUGAGACACGGUCCAGACUCCUACGGGAUGCAGCAGUGAGGAAUAUUGCACAAUGGAGGAAACUCUGAUGCAGCAACGCCGCGUGGAGGAUGACGCAUUUCGGUGUGUAAACUCCUUCUAAGAGGGAAGAUUAUGACGGUACCUCUUGAAUAAGCACCGGCUAACUCUGUGCCAGCCGCCGCGGUAA
rnacentral:rRNA from 1 species